GACGUAGGGCGCGAGCGUUGUCCGGAUUUAUUGGGCGUAAAGAGCUCGUAGGCGGUCUGUUGCGUCUGCUGUGAAAACUCGGGGCUUAACCCCGAGCCUGCAGUGGAUACGGGCAGACUAGAGGUAGGUAGGGGAGAAUGGAAUUCCCGGUGUAGCGGUGAAAUGCGCAGAUAUCGGGAGGAACACCGGUGGCGAAGGCGGUUCUCUGGGCCUGACCUGACGCUGAGGAGCGAAAGCGUGGGGAGCGAACAGG
rnacentral:rRNA from 1 species